GAAGAAUACGAGGUCAUAGUGCUCGGAACGGGCCUCAAAGAACGCAUUCUCAGCUGCCUCCUGACCUCUCAGUGGAUGGUCUCAAGGUCAGCUGCCACUUGUAGACAUUGUUUUUACUCUUUGUAGAUCGAUUGAAAUUCUAAGCGAGCAGUUGUUACGGGAAAUCUCAAGAGCCUUGAAUCCUCUGGUUCUUCCAGAGGGAAAAGGCAUAAGACCACCUAUGUAAUUCAGCACAACCUACUACUGUCUAGUUUUCUACAAGCACAAGCCCUUCAGAUGAAAUCAAAUUUUUCAUAUGAAUUGACCUUUAGGGUAAGUUUCAAUGUGACCGCUGUAGGUUAGUCGGUUGAGCUUUGAUUUUGUUUACUUCUCAUUUUGUAUGUCAAGGCUAAAAAGUUUGAAGAUUGGUUCAUCCUUUGCGUUAAAAAAGACCACGAGAAGUUUACCAAAAGUUCAGAUCAAUGAUGAUAUUUGGUUGAUGAAGAUAGUCUGUUGACACAGAAGAGGACCUAAAGAAACCCAGCUGCUUCUAUGUAAGGCAUCCUGGCUGGUUCUAAUUAUUUAUUUAGGUUUUUGUGACUUGUUUAUAGUGUUUGUCAACUUUGUGAGAUUCUUUAACCAUAAACUGAGCAAGCUGCAAAAUUGUGAGUUGGAAGCACAAGGAAAGCUUGUAAAAAUUGAAAUGGUGUUGGAGCUCAUGUUGCGGUAAAGCCUUUUGUAUGUGCUAGAUGUAUGUGUGCAGCAUGUUGAUCAUGUUGGUGCUCUGGCCUCUUUAUUUAUUUAUAAUUAUUUUCAGUAUUUUUUUAAGAUAGAGCUAAAUCAACUAAUCUAGGGUGGCGGUGCCAUGGGGUUUUGCAAAUAAACACCUCUACCACUGAGGUAAUCACACCCUGGCUGGCUGGUGCUCUGGCUUUUUUCUGUAACUCUUGCUCUGUUUUAGCUUUUAGUGUCGGAUGAUGAAAUAUUUACCACUUGUAGUUAUUAGGACUAUUUAUGAGGUUAGGACUCAUACUCAAGUGUUGUGUGAUGUUUUAUGACGUUAAUUCGUAUAUGACUACCGAGUUUAUUGCUUUCAGUUUGGAAUUUUGUAUGUACAGUGCAUAAAUAAGAUUGUUUUGUGUUAAAA